rnacentral:rRNA from 1 species
UACGUAGGGUGCGAGCGUUGUCCGGAAUUAUUGGGCGUAAAGAGCGUGUAGGCGGCUAUACAGGUCCGCUGUGAAAACUCGAGGCUCAACCUCGAGACGUCGGUGGAAACCGUAUGGCUAGAGUCCGGAAGAGGAGAGUGGAAUUCCUGGUGUAGCGGUGAAAUGCGCAGAUAUCAGGAAGAACACCCGUGGCGAAGGCGGCUCUCUGGGACGGUACUGACGCUGAGACGCGAAAGCGUGGGGAGCGAACAGG